CACGUAGGGCGCAAGCGUUGUCCGGAAUUAUUGGGCGUAAAGAGCUCGUAGGCGGACUGUCACGUCUGCUGUGAAAAGCUGGGGCUUAACCCUGGCCUUGCAGUGGAUACGGGCAGACUAGAGGUAGGUAGGGGAGAAUGGAAUUCCCGGUGUAGCGGUGAAAUGCGCAGAUAUCAGGAGGAACACCGGUGGCGAAGGCGGAUCUCUGGGCCUUACCUGACGCUGAGGCGCGAAAGCUAGGGGAGCAAACAGG
rnacentral:rRNA from 1 species